rnacentral:rRNA from 1 species
GCCUACGGGAGGCAGCAGUCAGGAAUAUUGCGCAAUGGAGGAAACUCUGACGCAGCGACGCCGCGUGCAGGAUGAAGGCCUUCGGGUUGUAAACUGCUUUGUACGGAACGAAACGGCGAGCUCUAAUAAAGUUUGCUAAUGACGGUACCGUAAGAAUAAGCACCGGCUAACUACGUGCCAGCAGCCGCGGUC